GACGAACGCUGGCGGCGUGCUUAACACAUGCAAGUCGAACGGAAAGGCCCUGAUUUUGUGGGGUGCUCGAGUGGCGAACGGGGGAGAAAAACGUGAGUAACCUGCCCUUGACUUUGGGAUAACUUCAGGAAACUGGGGCUAAUACCGGAUAGGAGCUCCUGCUGCAUGGGGGGGGUUGGAAAGUGUCGGCUGUUGGGGAUGGACUCGCGGCUUAUCAGCUGGUUGGUGGGGUAGUGGCUUACAAAGGCUUUGACGGGUAGCCGGCCUGAGAGCGUGACCGGCCACAGUGGGACUGAGAUACGGCCCAGACUCCUACGGGAGGCAGCAGUGGGGAAUCUUGCACAAUGGGCGGACGCCUGAUGCAGCAACGCCGCGUGCGGGAUGACGGCCUUCUGGUUAUAAACCGCUUUCGCCUGUGACGAAGCGUGAGUGACGGUACUGGGUAAAGAAGCCCCGGCUAACUACGUG
rnacentral:rRNA from 1 species